AAAUAAAUUGUACAUAGAACACAGUAUUGGGAAGUGCUAACGUGAUGUUUUUCUUUUUUUCAGCGAGCGAUGAACAAAGUGUUCAAGCGUUUGAGGCGUUUUUUCCCUUGCUUCGGCAAGGAGGAGCCCACUGAGGAGCCCCAGGAAUUUAUCUGCCUGGUACCAUCGGUUGGAUCUGGCAACGCCGUUUGCCAAGAGGAGAAACCAGAGCACAAAAUGGAGCCGGCUAUAGA